CCAGCCGUAAACUAUGCUCGCUAGGUGUCAGGGACGGUGCGACCGUUUCUGGUGCCGCAGGGAAGCCGUGAAGCGAGCCACCUGGGAAGUACGGUCGCAAGGCUGAAACUUAAAGGAAUU
rnacentral:rRNA from 1 species